rnacentral:rRNA from 1 species
AUUGAACGCUGGCGGCAGGCCUAACACAUGCAAGUCGAGCGGAGCGGCGGACGGGGCCGUAAUACUUAGGAAUCUGCCUGGUAGUGGGGGAUAACGUUCGGAAAAGGACGCUAAUACUCCUUCCUAUCAGAUGCGUCUGGGUCGGAUUAGCUUGUUGGUGAGGUAAUGGCUCACCAAGGCGACGAUCCGUAUCUGGUCUGAGAGGAUGAUCAGUCACACUGGAACUGAGACACGGUCCAGACUCCGACGGGAGGCAGCAGUGGGGAAUAUUGGACAAUGGGCGAAAGCCUGAUGCAGCCAUGCCGCGUGUGUGAAGAAGGUCUUCGGAUUGUAAAGCACUUUAAGUUGGGAGGCGUUACCGACAGAAUAAGCACCGGCUAACUCUGUGCCAGCAGCCGCGGUAAUAC